rnacentral:rRNA from 1 species
GCGCUAGAGGAGGGUUCCGCGUCCGAUUAGCUAGUUGGUGGGGUAACGGCCUACCAAGGCGACGAUCGGUAGCUGGUCUGAGAGGAUGAUCAGCCACACUGGGACUGAGACACGGCCCAG